rnacentral:rRNA from 1 species
AUGGCACCCCGCGCCCCAGCCGCCGCCGACCCUGACCGCCGCCUCGUCUCCUUCACCUUCGACGCGGUCACCGACGGCAGUUUAGUUAUACAUUACUUUGCCAAGGAAGGAAAAGACUGCAAUUUUUCUUCAGUGUAUCCAGACUUGCAGACACCAACAAAGAUACCUUUCCAGAAAGGAUUGGCUCAAAAUUAUGUCCAGCCCUCUGGAUCUGGCAUUGAUCUGGGAUUCUUUUCUCUGGAUGAGCUUUCAAAUCCUUCAGAGGAAGUAUACCCACUGGUAGUUUAUGCGGAAGCUUCUCCAUCUCCAGAGGAAGGUGGUCAAACAGUAAACUCCACACGGGCACAAAUUACACUUGCUGUUAUAGAGAAACAUAACGACGAUCUUCAAGUCAAAGUUGUCAAGCAAAUAUUGUGGAUUAAUGGUGUGCGCUAUGAACUGAAAGAAAUAUAUGGGAUUGUCAACUCCACGGAAGCUGAUGUUCCUGAUGCUGACGAUGAUGGCAUGGGGAAAGAAUGCGUUAUCUGCUUGACAGAGCCAAGGGACACUGCUGUUUUUCCUUGCAGGCAUUUGUGUAUGUGCAGUGAAUGUGCACAAGCUCUAAGGCUCCAAUCAAAUAAAUGCCCCAUAUGCAGACAGCCUGUUGAGAAACUAAUGGAGAUCAAAGUUAGGAGUUCUGAGCCAUAA